CAACUAUCUGUGUCAGUAGUGAACACCAAAUCGAGAAAACAAUUAUUUUGAUUUGGUAAACUACACACUUGCAGCAGUCCAACAGAAAGAAAACUGUCAACAACAGCUAUCUCGGCCUGAGAGUUGAUUCGGUUUGGUUCAAAUCAACGACUACUACCACGUCAUCAUUUGGUCCUAUACAUUCUGCAAUUGAUUCAACGAACGAGCAGAAAGAGCGAUAACGAUCAACACUAGAGCCACUGCGUGUUCUGUGCUAGCAAUAUGAUUGUAGACUGCAAUCAAAACACCACCGCCGGAUUUUUUAUCGCUAUUAGAGAUGUUUCUGUCGCAGCGAUAUACGGUAAAGUGCGGAGGAAAAAGUGACCUAUCUGUUACAGUUGAAUCAAGGUUUUCGAGCAGUCAACAAAGUUGUAGAAGCCAAUGAGCACGAAGUUGAAACUGGCGCAGGUUUUUGAUUAUUACUGUGUACUGGCAAGCGGUGUAAGAAAGUUGUCAGAAGUGGGCUCACUAUCCUUACAUUCGGGUCGAAAUGGCAUCGACAUAGGUUCAUUCACAAAUUCCCGAAAAUAAAUACCUUUUUGCCAGCUCGAGG